CAGAUGUUCCAGGGAGAUAUUUUCCCCAGCUUUCAUUUCAUCUCCUCCCCACUUGGGGACACAACAGCAAAGAAAACACAGCCAGCCAUUUUUCACCUAUGACAUGAGAGGGCAGUGCUACUUCAGACAGCACACCAGGGAUGGAUGAAAAUGUGGGCCACCUGCCUCGAAGCAGAAGCACCCCAGACCGGGCAAGAAGGUCUCCGGAUCCCAGUUUUGUCUCUGCUAGGAGGUAGCUGGGCGAUUUGGGGAUACUCUCUCAGCUGACUCACUGGCAAACUUCAACAGAGAAGUUAAUUGUUGUGUUGUGGUGACUCUGCUAUGGGGAAGGGCUGUUCUUGUGGGACACUUCUGGGACAGCCACAGAAAAGUGACAGGCACAGAACAGGACAUGUUCCAUAAAGUAGAACAACGUGCAGUUCAUAUC